UUGUGUUGCUCUGAAUCCCAGCAGCUUUACUCGGUCUCUGCAUUGUCUUUGUGGAAGAGAAGUGCAGAGUGGCCCGAAGCAGGCCUGCACAGUCCUGGCAAUCAGGAAGAGACUUCAUUCUAAUCUCUGCUUCCAUGAUUUCUUUCAAACCUUUUGUGUCUACAUCUUCUUGGCAGGGGCUCUUGUUUGGCAGGUGUUGAGAACUAUGGGUUCUCUCGGAAGACAAUACACAGAAGAUCACCGGGUGAUUUUUUUUCCUUGACAUAUAAAUGGCUUUGUCAUUCUGUCCACAGUCAUGAAUGCAAAAAACAGCUGCCAAGAACAGCUCAGGUGACUGUACGAAGACUUGACAUAAUGGGAGUGUUCCACCCACGACUGCACAGGAGAGUCCACUGUGCAUGCCACCCCCCCAAUAGUACACACAGAGCAGAGAAGUGGGGUCAGCAUGUGAACUCUGCCACAUGGUUAUGGCUUAUGGAUCUGCAGUAUUUUCAUGAGCUGAGUCACACAUUUCCCCUGACUUUCAAGACAAUGAGAGACACUAGCGCAAAAUAAGCACUGCCAUCCCAGGGCACAGUGAAGGCGCUCGGUGUGGGUGGGUGGGUGCAGAACUCUUCUUGGCUAUGCCAAGGGACAUGUACACUUGUGAUCAAGUCUGUCUGUCAGUGGCAACAAGGGAGAAACAGCGGGAUAUCCAACUGAUGUGAAGCAGAGUGUUUCUUACUCACGCAAUAAGAAAAGGCCCCUCCCUAUCCUGCCUGCCCGUCAAGAAGGAGGGCUGCCAGGAGGACAGCUCUAUCUCAGAAUCAAGAUCAGAAGCAGAAGGUUGUCUAAAAGACUCUGGUCCAAGGGCUGAAGGAUGCAACCAGGCUUCUGGUAAGUGUAGUGGGUAGCCAUUCCAGCUUUGAUCUGGAAGUUCCAACCCCCACUGAGGCUUCGGUAGUUGUCAAGCCUACAAGGCGGGUCCGAGAGAGGACCCUGAAGACCUGAGAUCGGGAUGGGCCAGUUCUCUCGGUUCCUGGACCCUGGACACUGGAGGUAGACCGAGCAGAGUUCUCCAGAGAACACCACUGGACUGCACUACA